CUUAAACAUGCAGUCGAACGAUGAAGCCCAGCUUGCUGGGUGGAUUAGUGGCGAACGGGUGAGUAACACGUGAGUAACCUGCCCUUAACUCUGGGAUAAGCCUGGGAAACUGGGUCUAAUACCGGAUAGGAGCGCCUACCGCAUGGUGGGUGUUGGAAAGAUUUAUCGGUUUUGGAUGGACUCGCGGCCUAUCAGCUUGUUGGUGAGGUAAUGGCUCACCAAGGCGACGACGGGUAGCCGGCCUGAGAGGGUGACCGGCCACACUGGGACUGAGACACGGCCCAGACUCCUACGGGAGGCAGCAGUGGGGAAUAUUGCACAAUGGGCGCAAGCCUGAUGCAGCGACGCCGCGUGAGGGAUGACGGCCUUCGGGUUGUAAACCUCUUUCAGUAGGGAAGAAGCGAAAGUGACGGUACCUGCAGAAGAAGCACCGGCUAACUACGUGCCAGCAGCCGCGGUAAUACGUAGGGUGCGAGCGUUAUCCGGAAUUAUUGGGCGUAAAGAGCUCGUAGGCGGUUUGUCGCGUCUGUCGUGAAAGUCCGGGGCUUAACCCCGGAUCUGCGGUGGGUACGGGCAGACUAGAGUGCAGUAGGGGAGACUGGAAUUCCUGGUGUAGCGGUGGAAUGCGCAGAUAUCAGGAGGAACACCGAUGGCGAAGGCAGGUCUCUGGGCUGUAACUGACGCUGAGGAGCGAAAGCAUGGGGAGCGAACAGGAUUAGAUACCCUGGUAGUCCAUGCCGUAAACGUUGGGCACUAGGUGUGGGGACCAUUCCACGGUUUCCGCGCCGCAGCUAACGCAUUAAGUGCCCCGCCUGGGGAGUACGGCCGCAAGGCUAAAACUCAAAGGAAUUGACGGGGGCCCGCACAAGCGGCGGAGCAUGCGGAUUAAUUCGAUGCAACGCGAAGAACCUUACCAAGGCUUGACAUGUUCUCGAUCGCCGUAGAGAUACGGUUUCCCCUUUGGGGCGGGUUCACAGGUGGUGCAUGGUUGUCGUCAGCUCGUGUCGUGAGAUGUUGGGUUAAGUCCCGCAACGAGCGCAACCCUCGUUCCAUGUUGCCAGCACGUCAUGGUGGGGACUCAUGGAAAACUGCCGGGGUCAACUCGGA
rnacentral:rRNA from 1 species